rfam:Triticum aestivum genome assembly, contig: Triticum_aestivum_CS42_TGACv1_scaffold_433802_5DL
AAUAUGUUAUACUCUGCCCCAAAAUUCUUGUCUUAAAUUAGUCUAGAUGUAGAUGUACCUAGUCAUAUUUUAGUGUUAGAUACACCUGUAUAUAGACAAAUCUAUGACAAGAAUUUUGGAACGGAGUAAUAUAAU